ACGUAGGAGACGAACGUUAUCCGGAGUUACUGGGCGUAAAGGGCGUGUAGGCGGUAUGCUAAGUCUGGCGUGAAAGCUCUCGGCUAAACCGGGAGAGGUCGUUGGAUACUGGCAAACUAGAGGAUGGUAGAGGCGUGUGGAAUUCCGGGUGUAGUGGUGAAAUGCGUAGAGAUCCGGAGGAACACCAGUGGCGAAGGCGACACGCUGGGCCAUACCUGACGCUAAAGCGCGACAGCAUGGGGAGCAAACGGGAUUAGAAACCCCGGUAGUCCAUGCCGUAAACGAUGCCAGCUAGAUGUUCAGUUCUCGCAAGAGAAGGGGGUAUCGAAGCAAACGCGAUAAGCUGGCCGCCUGGGGAGUACGGUCGCAAGGCUA
rnacentral:rRNA from 1 species